rnacentral:rRNA from 1 species
GACGAACGCUGGCGGCGUGCCUAAUACAUGCAAGUCGAACGCAGUGGGGACGGGUGCUUAACACGUGGGUAAACUCCCAUCAGAGGGGAUAACACUUGGAAUCAGGUGCUAAACCUAUACUUAUGGAUGGCCCCGCGGUGCAUUAGCGAGUUGGUGAGGUAACGGCUCACCCAGGCAACGAUGCAUAGCCGACCUGAGCGGGUGAUCGGCAACACUGGGACUGAGACACGGCCCAGACUCCUACGGGAGGAAGCGGUAGGGAGUCUUCGGCAAGGGACGAAAGUCUGACCGAGCAACGCCGCGUGAGUGAAGAGGGUUUUCGGAGCGUAAGACUCUGUUGUUAGAGAAGCGGUAUCUAACCAGAAAGCCACGGCUAACUACGUGCCAGCAGCCGCGGUAAUAC